GACCGUCUGUUGAAUAAAAAUAUUCAUGUAAUAAUUAUUCUGCAUACGGUAGUUACACGGUACAAGGUGAGUCACGCGAUUGGGAGGAACUACAACUCUUGCUUUGUUGGAGAUAAAAACAGAUGGUAAAAAGGAACUGGUGUACAGUGGAAGAAAACCUAUCUUCUUUAUAUGCUUUCAACAGAUGGCGCUAAUAAGAUAACAAUACCUGUUGCAUGAUCUCAUUCAAUACCUUUUACGCGUAAAAUGACUGAAAAAAUGAUUGCAUUCCCUUAAGAAACAAGAGUUACAUUUCAGGUCAAUUGGCUACAGGUACCGUUUCUCCUUCUAAAGGGAAAGAAAAAUGUGAAUCAAUCCCCCCAGACUGCACUUGAUGCCACUCUGGGUUUAAUAUUAUAAUAAGGUGGCAACCCUAGGUAGAAUACAAACGUCAAAUACAAAGAGUACAUAGUCGAGAACGAGACGACGAUUCGAAUCAAUUGAUGGAUCUCAUAGUCGACGGUCUCUGUUGAUGAAAGGGGUCGUGUACGCUCGUUUUACGCGUGGCCCUGCAUUAAGCGGCCAGUCAGUGUCGCAGAUCAGUAUAAAUUCCAGUGAUCGGUGCCAAUGUUUCUCCAUUAAAUCACCCGCUCUGUUCUCCCGUGUUAGUUUCAAUGAUCUCUUCGAGGGCAUAGGAAGAAGAAAAUACACAGUUCCGUGUCACAUUUUCUAAGGGUAUAUUUUGAAAAAAUUUGUCAGAAAAGGAGACUUCAGUUUCUUUAGCAAAAGCAGACGGAAGAAGUGGAAGGAAGAGAGAAGAAGAGGAUGCCAGACGGUU